rnacentral:rRNA from 1 species
UGUAAGCGUAUACCAAAGUUGUUGCAGUUAAAACGCUCGUAGUCGGAAUUUGGCAGUUCCGGAUGUGUGCACGUCGUGUGCGCACUUCGCGGGGAUUGCUUUUGUGGUCUUGCGUAGGAUGAGGCACUUUUAUUAGUGAACGUCCUCACGCAACCACUUUUUACUGUGAGAAAAUCAGAGUGCUCAAAGCAGGCAUUUGCCGUGAAUGUAUUAGCAUGGAAUAAUAGAAUAGGACUUGGUUUUAUUUUGUUGGUUUGUUGGGACUGAGUAAUGAUUAAGAGGGACAGUUGGGGGCAUUUGUAUUUCGGUGCUAGAGGUGAAAUUCUUAGAUUACCGAAAGACAAACUGCUGCGAAAGCGUCUGCCAAGGAUGUUUUCAUUGA